rnacentral:rRNA from 1 species
UGCAAGUCGAACGAGCGAGAGAAAGCUUGCUUUCUCAAGCGAGUGGCGAACGGGUGAGUAACGCGUGAGGAACCUGCCUCAAAGAGGGGGACAACAGUUGGAAACGACUGCUAAUACCGCAUAAGCCCACAGCUCGGCAUCGAGCAGAGGGAAAAGGAGCAAUCCGCUUUGAGAUGGCCUCGCGUCCGAUUAGCUAGUUGGUGAGGUAAUGGCCCACCAAGGCGACGAUCGGUAGCCGGACUGAGAGGUUGAACGGCCACAUUGGGACUGAGACACGGCCCAGACUCCUACGGGAGGCAGCAGUGGGGAAUAUUGCACAAUGGGGGAAACCCUGAUGCAGCGACGCCGCGUGGAGGAAGAAGGUCUUCGGAUUGUAAACUCCUGUUGUUGAGGAAGAUAAUGACGGUACUCAACAAGGAAGUGACGGCUAACUACGUGCCAGCAGCCGCGG